CCGAACAGGACCCGCCCAUUGAUCUUUGAUUGGUUACUUAGUGUGUCAGUAUGCAGAAGUACAGUGACGUUACAUAAAGCCCCGCCCCCAGUUGUGCACGAUUUAAAGAGACAGCGUGCCAACUCGACAGGAGAAGAAUAAAAGCCCAGGACUGGACAUGCAGCUGAUCGUCCUCUCGGUGUUGUUGGCGCUCGGCCUGGCCGUGCCUCCUCAGGAGAAACGUGUGCACCACCAGCGUGAUCUGAGCGACCACGCCCAUGACGACGCCCACGGCUACCAGUACGACCACGAGGCCUUCCUUGGCAAAGAGGAAGCAAAGACCUUUGACCAGUUGACCCCUGAGGAAAGCAAAGCCAGACUCGGGAAAAUUGUAGACCGCAUCGACACGGAUAAGGACGGCUUCGUUAGCCACGCCGAGCUGCACCACUGGAUCAAACACAGGCAGAGGAGGUACAUCGAGGAGAACGUAGACAAGCACUGGAAAGAGUAUGACCAGAACAAGGACGGCAAGAUCUCCUGGAUCGAGUACAAGAACACUACUUACGGAACCUACCUGGAUGACGAGUCUGAGGAUUUGGAGGACAGAGAGACGUAUAAAACCAUGCACUCCCGAGACCAGCGGCGGUUCAAGAUGGCGGAUAAAGACGGAGACGGCAUCGCCACGAGGGAGGAGUUCACCGCGUUCCUCCACCCAGAAGAGUUCGAUUACAUGCAGGGUCUUGUAGUGCAGGAGACGAUGGAGGACAUUGACAAGAACGGAGACGGCAAGGUCAAUUUAGAGGAGUACAUCGGCGACAUGUUCACUCCUGAGGAGGGCGAGAGUGAACCUGAGUGGGUGACAACAGAGAGGAAACAGUUCUCUGGGUACAGAGACAUCAACAAGGACGGCUUCCUCGACGCUGAUGAAAUCGCUCAGUGGAUCCUGCCGAGAGACGUCGAUCACACCGACAACGAGGCCAAACAUCUCAUUCACGAGACAGACAAGAACAACGAUGACAAAAUUACCAAGGCAGAGAUUCUGGAUAACUGGAACAUGUUUGUUGGAAGUCAAGCCACCAAUUAUGGAGAAGAUCUGACGAGGAAACACGACGAGCUCUGAUCCGAGUCGGGGCUCAAACACACGUGUACAGGAGGAAGCGAGAAUUCAGUCCACUAUGCAAAGAAAUGACCGUUUACAUUUUAUAUCAACAGGACGGUCGUCUCUCCAUCAGUGAGCUCAUGGACAAUGUGGAUGUGGUUAAACUCAGCACCAUCACAGAUUAUGGCACACUGGUUCUGAGAGAACAUGAUGAACUUUGACCUCUUCUAUAAUCUCAUUUGAGAACAAAAA